AGCACUGGAAUACUGUGAUGUGGGGUGGAGCACUGGAAUACUGUGAUGUGGGAUGGAACACUGGAAUACUGUGAUGUGGGGUGGAACACUGGAAUAGUAUGAUGUGGGGUGGAACACUGGAAUACUGUGAUGUGGGGCGGAGCACUGGAAUACUGUGAUGUGGGGCGGAGCACUGGAAUACUGUGAUGUGGGGUGGAACAUUGGAAUACUGUGAUGUGGGGUGGAGCACUGGAAUACUGUGAUGUGGCGUUAUGUUGGAUAGGCAGACAAAGGAGUUGAGAACUCUGAAAGCUCACUGGACAAAACCUCCUACAAGGUGACCCCUGCCUGACAAGACCGACCGCCAACCUUUGUUAGUGCCGUUCUCAACCCUGGCUAGAGAAGCCUCACUCGUCAGCGGGCAGCAAAGCAGAGACUCACAAAUGGUCAAAAGGCUGAGAUUAGGUGCCUGUUGAGCGCUCAGCCCUAAAUGGGACCCAUAUCGACCUCCCGACACAGGGCGCAGGACACGGAAAGUGGGGUGGAAAGCUGUUAGGAGCCAGAAGAUGUGGAGCAGUGCCAGAAGCGCUUUCUUUUGGACUGCACACGGCCGUUGCCCUGCGGACCCACUGCAGCUAUGAGACAUCUGUAUGAGACGUGGAAGGAAGGGGUGAAGCCGCAGAGACUUCUGGUGGAGCAAGCCUGUAUUCUCAGCACUUGGCAGACUGAAGCAGGAGGAUCUGGAGUUCAAGGCUCAUCGGGGCUACACUGUCUCAAGCAACCAACCAAACAAAUAAACAAACCCAAAGUAGUGAGGGACAGAAGAUGGGAGAAGAGGCUUCAGUUGGUCCUCUUGUAAGAGAGGGAGAGAAACAGCGGGCCACCACAGCCCAGCUCCUACUCCACUGAUUUCCGGCUCACAUUACAGGGGUUUACGAUUUCUAUCAUGGAAGCCUCGUGUGGUGGCACAUCCCAAACCCAGGAGGUAGAGACAGCAGGAGCUCUGUGAGUGUGAUGCCAACCUGGUCUACAGAGCAAGAUCCUGGACA